rnacentral:rRNA from 1 species
GCAAGUCGAGCGAACGGACGAGAAGCUUGCUUCUCUGAUGUUAGUGGCGGACGGGUGAGUAACACGUGGAUAACCUACCUAUAAGACUGGGAUAACUUCGGGAAACCGGAGCUAAUACCGGAUAAUAUUUUGAACCGCAUGGUUCAAAAGUGAAAGACGGUCUUGCUGUCACUUAUAGAUGGAUCCGCGCUGCAUUAGCUAGUUGGUAAGGUAACGGCUUACCAAGGCAACGAUGCAUAGCCGACCUGAGAGGGUGAUCGGCCACACUGGAACUGAGACACGGUCCAGACUCCUACGGGAGGCAGCAGUAGGGAAUCUUCCGCAAUGGGCGAAAGCCUGACGGAGCAACGCCGCGUGAGUGAUGAAGGUCUUCGGAUCGUAAAACUCUGUUAUUAGGGAAGAACAUAUGUGUAAGUAACUGUGCACAUCUUGACGGUACCUAAUCAGAAAGCCACGGCUAACUACGUGCCAGCAGCCGCGGUAAUACGUAGGUGGCAAGCGUUAUCCGGAAUUAUUGGGCGUAAAGCGCGCGUAGGCGGUUUUUUAAGUCUGAUGUGAAAGCCCACGGCUCAACCGUGGAGGGUCAUUGGAAACUGGAAAACUUGAGUGCAGAAGAGGAAAGUGGAAUUCCAUGUGUAGCGGUGAAAUGCGCAGAGAUAUGGAGGAACACCAGUGGCGAAGGCGACUUUCUGGUCUGUAACUGACGCUGAUGUGCGAAAGCGUGGGGAUCAAACAGGAUUAGAUACCCUGGUAGUCCACGCCGUA